rnacentral:rRNA from 1 species
GGGGAAUAUUGCGCAAUGGGCGAAAGCCUGACGCAGCAAUGCCGCGUGAGGGAUGAAGGCCUUCGGGUCGUAAACCUCUGUCAGAAGGGAAGAACCGCUAGGGUGCUAAUCAGCCCUAGUCUGACGGUACCUUCAAAGGAAGCACCGGCUAACUCCGUGCCAGCAGCCGCGGUAAUACGGAGGGUGCAAGCGUUAAUCGGAAUCACUGGGCGUAAAGCGCACGUAGGCCGUUUGGUAAGUCAGAGGUGAAAGCCCGUAGCUCAACUACGGAAUUGCCUUUGAUACUGCUGGACUUGAGUUCGGGAGAGGGUAGUGGAAUUCCAGGUGUAGGAGUGAAAUCCGUAGAUAUCUGGAGGAACAUCAGUGGCGAAGGCGACUACCUGGACCGGUACUGACGCUGAGGUGCGAAAGCGUGGGGAGCAAAC